GGACUACCGGGGUUUCUAAUCCUGUUUGCUCCCCACGCUUUCGUGCAUCAGCGUCAGUAUCGGGCCAGUGAGCCGCCUUCGCCACUGGUGUUCUUGCGAAUAUCUACGAAUUUCACCUCUACACUCGCAGUUCCACUCACCUCUCCCGAACUCAAGACUCUCAGUAUCAAAGGCAGUUCUGGAGUUGAGCUCCAGGAUUUCACCUCUGACUUAAGAACCCGCCUACGCACCCUUUACGCCCAGUGAUUCCGAGCAACGCUAGCCCCCUUCGUAUUACCGCGGCUGCUGGCAC
rnacentral:rRNA from 1 species